rnacentral:misc_RNA from 1 species
UUUUAUGUCCCAAAUCUAUGGCCAUUUGGCCUUACCCCUCUAAUACUAAGAAGAAAAAUGAUUUCCCAUUAAAUCUCUUAUGGGAUCACCAAACAAUAUUUAUCAUUGUUAUUAAAUUCGGACUGACCCCGAAUCUGUCUGGAUUUGUAAUUUGACCGGACAAGGAAAUGACCUAAUGUGACCUGUUUGACUUGGUCAGUCCGACCAGCCAAUAGGAGCAAAAAUUUUUUAAUUGUUUGUAAGGGAAAUUGAACCCAAGAUCUCAUAAGAGAUUUUUAAAGUCAACAAAUUGAG